UAGUGACUUCGGUUGCUAGAGAGCGGCGCACGGGUGAGUAACGCGUACACAAUCUGCCCUACACAGAGGAAUAGCCCUGGGAAACUGGGAUUAAUGCCUCAUGGUCCUUAAUGUCCGCAUGGAUAUAAAGGUAAAGAUCCGUCGGUGUAGGAUGAGUGUGCGUACUAUUAGCUAGUUGGUGAGGUAACGGCUCACCAAGGCGAUGAUAGUUAGGGGGCGUGAGAGCGUGAUCCCCCACAUGGGUACUGAGACACGGACCCAACUCCUACGGGAGGCAGCAGUAAGGAAUAUUGGACAAUGGGCGCAAGCCUGAUCCAGCCAUCCCGCGUGCAGGAUGACGGCGCUACGCGUUGUAAACUGCUUUUGUAUAAGAUGAAACCUGGGGAUUUAUCUUCAGUUGACGUUAUUAUAAGAAUAAGCACCGGCUAACUCCGUGCCAGCAGCCGCGGUAAUACGGAGGGUGCAAGCGUUAUCCGGAAUCACUGGGUUUAAAGGGUGCGUAGGUGGACCAGUAAGUCAGAGGUGAAAGCCCGUCGCUUAACGACGGAAUAGCCUUUGAUACUGUUGGUCUUGAAUCAGGUUGAGGUAUGCGGAAUGUGGCAUG
rnacentral:rRNA from 1 species